rnacentral:rRNA from 1 species
UUCGACGCAACGCGCAGAACCUUACCAGCCCUUGACAUCCCGGUCGCGGAUCGCAGAGAUGCUUUCCUUCAGUCGGCUGGACCGGUGACAGGUGCUGCAUGGCUGUCGUCAGCUCGUGUCGUGAGAUGUUGGGUUAAGUCCCGCAACGAGCGCAACCCCCGCCUUCAGUUGCCAACGGUUCGGCCGUGCACUCUGGAGGAACUGCCUGUGACAAGCAGGAGGAAGGUGGGGAUGACGUCAAGUCCUCAUGGCCCUUAUGGGCUGGGCUACACACGUGCUACAAUGGCGGUGACAGAGGGAUGCAAUACCGCGAGGUGGAGCAAAUCCCUAAAAGCCGUCUCAGUUCGGAUUGUUCUCUGCAACUCGAGAGCAUGAAGUUGGAAUCGCUAGUAAUCGCGGAUACAAGACUCGCCGCGGUGAAUACGUCCAGGCUU